UUGGGACUUUGGUCGGAGGUCUUGCUUACAAAAGAGUGUUCUCGACUAGAAACUCCCCCUCCAGACCUACUGGGGGCUCCACUACAGGCAGUCAGGGCACAGAAGAAAUCUCCACUGAUCACACAUACAUGGCUCCUGUUCCCUGUUCCAAAAGCUCUUCUGAGUACGCCACUCUCGAAACUGUUAAGGUCUCGGCUGAAGGUGUCAAGUACAACUGUGGUGAUAAUCCAACUCCUGCUGAAGACUAUAUGAACUUGAAAAUUGGCUAAAUGCUUUUCCCGGAUAACAUUUUACUGUAUUGUUUAAAAUCCUCUUCACAUCCUGCUCCCACGGCACUCACAUUUUUAAAAAGUCUUUCUUCGGCACUGCCAUUUUGUUUGACUCUGUAAUUGCACAUUGCCUUUGAGUUCUAUUGCACCAUAUACGUAUAUAUUGCUCAUGAUGUGUAUUUGUUUGCUGUAACAAUAAGAGUGGCUACAGAGAUUACAGAGUGUAUCAGAGUUUGUUAAGACUAAAUGACUCCAAGCUACAGGAACUGAAUAAUCAAUAUCCGUGAAGAAAAAAAACAUUUACAACCGUUUUCUGCUGGCAUUUAAUAUUGUGAAAUAUCAUGGAUGCAACUGUAAAUCAAGGUAAUUGAGUGUGU